rnacentral:tRNA from 1 species
GGAGAGGUGGCUGAGAGGCCGAAAGCGGCAGACUCGAAAUCUGUUAUACUGGCAACGGUAUCGGGGGUUCGAAUCCCUCCCUCUCCG